UACGGGAGGCAGCAGUGGGGAAUAUUGCACAAUGGGCGCAAGCCUGAUGCAGCAACGCCGCGUGAGGGAUGACGGCCUUCGGGUUGUAAACCUCUUUUAGCAGGGAAGAAGCGAAAGUGACGGUACCUGCAGAAAAAGCGCCGGCUAACUACGUGCCAGCAGCCGCGGUAAUACGUAGGGCGCAAGCGUUAUCCGGAAUUAUUGGGCGUAAAGAGCUCGUAGGCGGUUUGUCGCGUCUGCUGUGAAAUCCCGAGGCUCAACCUCGGGCCUGCAGUGGGUACGGGCAGACUAGAGUGCGGUAGGGGAGAUUGGAAUUCCUGGUGUAGCGGUGGAAUGCGCAGAUAUCAGGAGGAACACCGAUGGCGAAGGCAGAUCUCUGGGCCGUAACUGACGCUGAGGAGCGAAAGGGUGGGGAGCAAACAGGCUUAGAUACCCUGGUAGUCCACCCCGUAAACGUUGGGAACUAGUUGUGGGGUCCAUUCCACGGAUUCCGUGACGCAGCUAACGCAUUAAGUUCCCCGCCUGGGGAGUACGGCCGCAAGGCUAAAACUCAAAGGAAUUGACGGGGACCCGCACAAGCGGCGGAGCAUGCGGAUUAAUUCGAUGCAACGCGAAGAACCUUACCAAGGCUUGACAUAUACGAGAACGGGCCAGAAAUGGUCAACUCUU
rnacentral:rRNA from 1 species